UACGUAGGUGGCAAGCGUUGUCCGGAUUUACUGGGCGUAAAGAGCGCGCAGGCGGUCGUUCAAGUCGCGUGUGAAAGCCCCCGGCUCAACUGGGGAGGGUCACGCGAUACUGAUCGACUCGAAGGCAGGAGAGGGUAGUGGAAUUCCCAGUGUAGAGGUGAAAUUCGUAGAUAUUGGGAAGAACACCAGUGGCGAAGGCGGCUAACUGGUCCAGAUCUGACGCUGAGGUGCGAAAGCGUGGGGAGCAAACAGG
rnacentral:rRNA from 1 species